GUGCAUCAAUGUCUUUGCUGUGCUCACUGCCUUCAGAAUCCUUUUCUUGAUGGUGUAUCUUUCUUGUGCAACUGGGAUUCCCCUUCAUAUUAUUUUCAGUAAAACAAAUCUGCUCAUUCCAUGAUGGAAUAGCUGAGCAGCUUCCAUAACUACUCUCCAUAUCAUUGAUGAUCUUUGUAUCCUCAACUAUUAAAGUGCUAUUGCUACCAAAACCAACAGUUUGGACAUCAUUCCUAGACCUACCCACUACCUUAAGUUUGGGCUUGUUCACUGUUUUAC
rnacentral:misc_RNA from 1 species